CCUACGGGAGGCAGCAGUGAGGAAUAUUGGUCAAUGGGCGGAAGCCUGAACCAGCCAAGUAGCGUGCGGGAUGAAGGCCCUACGGGUCGUCAACCGCUUUUGCACGGGGAUAACACCCUCCACUUGUGGAGGUCUGCAGGUACCGUGCGAAUAAGGGCCGGCUAAUUCCGUGCCAGCAGCCGCGGGAAUACGGAAGGCCCGAGCGUUGUCCGGAUUCAUUGGGAUAAAAGGGAGCGUAGGCGGGCGGUCAAGUCAGCGGUAAAGCCGCGCGGCUCAACCGCGCCCCGAAGUUGAAACUGGACGCCUUGAGUUCACAACAGGCAGGCGGAAUUCGUGGUGUAGCGGUGAAAUGCAUAGAUAUCACGAGGACCCCCGAUUGCGAAGGCAGCCUGCCGGGGUGCGACUGACGCUGAGGCUCGAAGGUGCGGGUAUCAAACAGGAUUAGAUACCCUAGUAGUC
rnacentral:rRNA from 1 species